AUGUUUUCAACUUAAGUGCUUGACUUGUAAGGUGAGCUUGCAUAAGCUAGAGAAAUUCAGCCAAUCUGAACUGCUUAGAAAUUUGGGGAAGAUACCUGAAAUUGAAGUUGAAUUUCUUUAAAAACCCAAGAAUUUAUAUCCCAGCAAGGAUAAUACUUUCAGAAAUAAUAUUAGAAUGAAAUGGAUUGUUACUUGAAGCAGUAUUUUCAGCAGACUUUCAACAAAUAGAAAAGAACAGAAAGGAAUCAAAAAAUACUGAUUAGCAAAUGACAUCUUUUUUGGGAAUGUGGAAUAGCAACUAACUGAAGCUGGAUUAGAACUUGCAAAGGAUAUAACUUUAUAACCUUGGCUGUCACAGAAUUGGAAAAUGAAUGAGAUUCAAGUAAAUAAUAUAUAAGUUUCUGCACUUUGAGAUUGCUGGCAAGAAUUUCUGCUAUCAGGUGGUGACUCAUCAAUUGGAAGAAAUAAAGAGGUUGAGUAAUAGAGUAUAUUAAUUGAUCACAGGAUGCCCAUGCAUUGACUGUGUGAUGUGGCUCUGAAAAAACUAAUUCUGCCCUGGACUGUGGAUGUAUUUCCAGUACAUGCAGAUCCUACAUAAAUUGUUUCCUCACUGCUUUUGCUAUGGAAGUCCUUCUCCAAUUCUUGAAUAGUCAUUGCAGAAUGAGAUUCCUCAAAACGUUCUCUGUUCCAGCACUGAGAAGGAUGCUUCCAAAGCAUACAUCCAAGAGCAGCCAACCAUGAAGCCAUGACUCUGAAUUCCAGGCACCCCUAAGUUCUGGAAGUCUGCUGUCCAGUGUAGGAAUACCUAGGAGAGGUCUACUGGAUGUGGUUUCAGCAGGCCACCAACACAUAGGGAAAUGUAAACCUUCAGCUGAGAUCCGUUUGAUAAACGCUGGAUUGAGAUUGCAAUCAGAGCAAGAAGCUCGAAUAUCCAGCAGAGGGAGUGAUUUCCUCAGCCAAUAUCCCUCUGCCCGGCAUGCCCUGACUCCAGCCUCAAGGAGAGAGCAUCUGCGCGUCGGCAGAGGCGUGGGAAGGAGGACGUGUAAGAUUUGCGGCAAAAAGAGAGAGCUAAAACACAGUAUGUAAACUGCCUAAACGGAAAAAAAACCCAAACAAACAAACUAUUUCUCUUGAAAUGGCUGUAAUUUUUAUCUAACUAGUAAAAAAAGUUUGAAGAAUUUAGCAGGUAAGAUUCAAAAAUAAUGAUUAGCUGGCACGAUGGUCUAACCCCAGUGGACAACUAAUUAUUGCACAGCUGCUUGCUCACUCC